rnacentral:rRNA from 1 species
GUUGAAAAACUCCAACCCCUGUGAACUUACCUAUCUUGUUGCUUCGGCGGGAGGCUUCGGCCGCCCGCCGGAGGUUCCAAACUUUAUUUUUCAGUGUAUCUCUGAGCAAAAAACAAAAUAAUCAAAACUUUCAACAACGGAUCUCUUGGUUCUGGCAUCGAUGAAGAACGCAGCGAAAUGCGAUAAGUAAUGUGAAUUGCAGAAUUCAGUGAAUCAUCGAAUCUUUGAACGCACAUUGCGCCCGCCGGUAUUCCGGCGGGCAUGCCUGUUCGAGCGUCAUUUCACCACUCAAGCCCAGCUUGGUGUUGGGGCACCCGGCCGCCUGGCGGCCGGGGCCCCCAAGUAUAUCGGCGGUCUCGUCUAGACCCUGAGCGCAGUAACUCGCGGUAGAACGCGCUUCGUUCGGUGGUUCUGGCGGGCUACUUGCCGCUAAACCCCCUUUUUUCUAAGGUUGACCUCGGAUCAGGUAGGAAUACCCGCUGAACU